AGCGCUUCCAAAGGGCACGAGGUUACCCAUAACCAGGAAUUUCUCUUCCACCGAACACCAGGGAUGGUGGUAAUGCUGAUCCCAGGGGUCCAAUUGGGUUUCAAGCGCAGACGUUUUCUCGUUGCUGGGAGUUGUGACCAGUGUCUUCACUGCUGAUGCUCCCCCCGUCGACUCCACCUACGCUGCUCGCUCCGGUGGAGUACCGGAGUCGACAGGAGAGCGCUUGGCGGUCAAUUUAUCGCGUCUUCACUAGACGCAAUAAAUCGACCCCUGCUGGAUCGAUCGCU